rnacentral:rRNA from 1 species
AGAGCGAACGCUGGCGGCAGGCCUAACACAUGCAAGUCGAACGGACUCUUCGGAGUUAGUGGCGGACGGGUGAGUAACACGUGGGAACGUGCCUUUUGGUUCGGAAUAGCUCCUGGAAACGGGUGGUAAUGCCGAAUGUGCCCUUCGGGGGAAAGAUUUAUCGCCAUUAGAGCGGCCCGCGUCUGAUUAGCUAGUUGGUGAGGUAAAGGCUCACCAAGGCGACGAUCAGUAGCUGGUCUGAGAGGAUGACCAGCCACAUUGGGACUGAGACACGGCCCAAACUCCUACGGGAGCAGCAGUGGGGAAUAUUGGACAAUGGGACGAAAGCCUGAUCCAGCCAUGCCGCGUGUGUGAAGAAGGUCUUCGGAUUGUAAAGCACUUUAA